rnacentral:rRNA from 1 species
CGGAUCAGCAUGCCGCGGUGAAUACGUUCCCGGGCCUUGUACACACCGCCCGUCACACCAUGGGAGCCGGUGACACCCGAAGUCAGUAGCCUAACAGCAAUGAGGGCGCUGCCGAAGGUGGGAUUGGUGACUGGGGUGAAGUCGUAACAAGGUAAC